GAUUCACAGCAGCACAUACUAAAAUUGGAACAAUACAAAGAAGAUUAGCAUGGCUUCUGUGCAAGGAUGACAUGCAAAUUCAUGAAGUGUGCCAUGCUUUG
ensembl:snRNA U6 U6 spliceosomal RNA